rnacentral:SRP_RNA from 1 species
GCUGAGCAUGGUGGUGCGUGCCUGUGGUCCCAGAUACUCAGGAGGCUGAGGCUGGAGGAUCUCUUGAGUCCAGGAAUUCUGGGCUGUAGUGUGCUAUGCCGAUCGGGUGUCUGCACUAAGUUUGGCAUCAAUAUGGUGAUCUCCCAGGAGCGGGGAUCACCAGGUUGCCUAAGGAGGCGUGAACUGGCCCAGGUCAGAAACGGAACAGGUCAAAACUCCUGUGCUGAUCUGUAGUGGGAUCGCACCCGUGAAUGGCCACUGCACUCCAGCCUGGGCAACAUAGCUAGACCCCAUCUCU